AGCUAGGCUAGUUCACUAGUUGUAUACCCAACAACUCAAAAGCCAAAAGGGUUUGGUUUUGUUACGGUUCGAGUCAGAGACUGAUGCGCACAAGGCAUUGGAGGCCAUGAAUGGCAGGAUUGUUAAUGGAAGGCUGAUCUUUGUUGAAGUGGCAAAAAAUACCGAGUGAUGAUCGAGUACGAUUCUCUUUUAUUUCCCCAAUUAGGAAACCAAAAGGGUGAGCAUGACCAAAUGUUGCUACAAGCGUAUUGGUAAGACAAAUUAGGACUCUUGCAGAGAGGAGAAUUUGUAAAAGGAGAAAGUUAAUGCAUUUGAUUUUAUACUUUGCCUAAGCACUUGAUUGUAUUCAUGCUUUUGCCUGAACGAGCAACUUGACUUCAUGAUUGUAAAAGGAGAAGUUACAUUGUUGUAAAGUUUGCUCAGUAUUACCAAUAAAACGAAAUCGAGUGGAUUCCAGUUAACAGAA